rnacentral:rRNA from 1 species
UCGAGAAUAUUUGGCAAUGGGCGCAAGCCUGACCAUGCGACGCCGCGUGGCUGAUGAAGUCUUUCGGGACGUAAAGGCCUUUUAUGCGUGAGGAAGUAAUUGACGUUAGCGCAUGAAUAAGGGGCUCCUAACUCUGUGCCAGCAGGAGCGGUAAUACAGAGGCCCCAAGCAUUAUCCGGAAUCACUGGGCGUAAAGGGUGUGUAGGCGGCUUAGUUAGUCUUUCGUAAAAGCACUUGGGCUCAACUCAGGUAAUGCGGAGGAAACGGCUAGGCUUUGAGGACGCGAGAGGUAGAGGGAACUCAUGGUGUAGGGGUGAAAUCCGUUGAUAUCAUGGGGAACACCAAAUGCGAAGGCACUCUACUGGCGCGCUCCUGACGCUGAAACACGAAAGCGUGGGAAUCGAACGGGAUUAGAUACCCCCGUAGUCC